GACAGAGGGUGCAAACGUUGUUCGGAUUUACUGGGCGUAAAGCGCGUGUAGGCGGCUUGGCAAGUUGGAUGUGAAAGCCCACGGCUCAACCGUGGAAGCGCAUCCAAAACUGCUUCGCUCGAGUCUCGGAGAGGAAGGUGGAAUGCUUGGUGUAGAGGUGAAAUUCGUAGAUAUCAAGCAGAACACCUGCGGCGAAGGCAGCUCGCUGGAACGGUACUGACGCUGAGACGCGAAAGCGUGGGGAGCGAACAGG
rnacentral:rRNA from 1 species